AAGUCGAGGGGCAACAGGUCCGUAGCAGUACGGAUGCUGGCGACCGGCAAACGGGUGCGGAACACGUACACAACCUUCCUUUGAGCGGGGAAUAGCCCGGGGAAACCCGGAUUAGUACCUCAUAGUAUGGUGAAGAGGCAUCUCUUUACUAUUAAAGAUUUAUCACUUAAAGAUGGGUGUGCGGCUGAUUAGGUAGUUGGCGGGGUAACGGCCCACCAAGCCUACGAUCAGUAACUGGUGUGAGAGCACGACCAGUCACACGGGCACUGAGACACGGGCCCGACUCCUACGGGAGGCAGCAGUAAGGAAUAUUGGUCAAUGGACGAAAGUCUGAACCAGCCAUGCCGCGUGGAGGAUGAAGGUCCUCUGGAUUGUAAACUUCUUUUAUAUGGGACGAAAAAAGGCUUUUCCAGGUCGUCUGACGGUACCAUAUGAAUAAGCACCGGCUAACUCCGUGCCAGCAGCCGCGGUAAUACGGAGGGUGCAAGCGUUAUCCGGAUUCACUGGGUUUAAAGGGUGCGUAGGUGGGUUAGUAAGUCAGUGGUGAAAUCCCCGAGCUUAACUUGGGAACUGCCAUUGAUACUAUUAAUCUUGAAUACCGUGGAGGUCAGCGGAAUAUGUCAUGUAGCGGUGAAAUGCUUAGAUAUGACAUAGAACACCAAUUGCGAAGGCAGCUGGGCUACGCGAAUAUUGACACUGAUGCACGAAAGCGUGGGGAUCAAACAGGAUUAGAUACCCUGGUAGUCCACGCCCUAAACUAUGGAUACUCGACAUCAGCGAUACACUGUUGGGU
rnacentral:rRNA from 1 species